GAGGAUAUAGCUCAGUGGUAGAGCACAUGCUUAGCAAGCACAAGGUCAUGGGUUUGAUCCCUAGUACCUUCG
rnacentral:tRNA from 1 species